GCCAAAGUGGCGGAACUGGUAGACGCGCACGACUCAAAAUCGUGUUCCUUCGGGAGUGUGGGUUCGAUUCCCACCUUUGGUA
rnacentral:tRNA from 1 species